CUGGUCUGGGGUGUGUUGGUGUGUGUUCUGAAGAGAUGACCGCAGACACGCUGGCUGCUGAUGACUAUAUAGAGCCGCACAGAGGCAGUGUACUGUACAAGCUGGAUGGAAGUAUGCAAACCUCGCAAUGAAGAUGGAAAAGUAACAUGAACAAGGUUGUGAAUGUUCGGGUGUGGUGUGGAUGAGCAAGUGAGCGAGCUGGCAUUGGGAGCCGAGCGGGGGAGGCAGCGCGACGUGAGGCUAGCCAAGAUGUAGGAAGAUUGUACUGUACUUAUGCUAUGGAAUGGUGUUGUUACUGUAAAGCAUACUUAAGAAAGAU